rnacentral:rRNA from 1 species
UUGGAGGGCAAGUCUGGUGCCAGCAGCCGCGGUAAUUCCAGCUCCAAUAGCGUAUAUUAAAGUUGCUGCAGUUAAAAAGCUCGUAGUUGAAUUUCGGGACCAAUAUGUCGGUCGUGCCUCGGUACGUACUGGCAUCGUUGGUUUCUCCCUUCUGACGAACCAUGAUGUCAUUUAUUUGGUGUCGUGGGGAAUCAGGACUGUUACUUUGAAAAAAUUAGAGUGUUUAAAGCAGGCUCACGCUUGAAUACAUUAGCAUGGAAUAAUGAAAUAGGACGUUUGAUUCUAUUUUGUUGGUUUCUAGGAUCGACGUAAUGAUUAAUAGGGAUAGUUGGGGGCAUUAGUAUUCAAUUGUCAGAGGUGGAAUUCUUGGAUUUAUUGAAGACUAACUACUGCGAAAGCAUUUGCCAAGGAUGUUUUCGUUAAUCAAGAACGAAAGUUAGGGGAUCGAAGACGAUCAGAUACCGUCGUAGUCUUAACCAUAAACUAUGCCGACUAGGGAUCGGAUGAUGUUAAUUUUUUAAUGACUCAUUCGGCGCCUUACGGGAAACCAAAGUGUUUGGGUUC